GCCCAGGUGGCGAAAUGGUAGACGCACUAGCUUCAGGUGCUAGCGAUCGCAAGGUCAUGGAAGUUCGAGUCUUCUCCUGGGCACCA
rnacentral:tRNA from 2 species